AUGAAUCAGAGGAGAAACCCGAAGUGGCUGGCGCUUGCAAAGGUACUGAUGACGAAGACCUUCGGGCAGGGUGCGUUGAUCGCAUACAUGAAGGCGGCUUGGAAUCCGGCACAUGAUGUGGUUUGGCGUAGAAUCAACUCCAAUCUGUUCUCGAUACAAUUCAAUUGUUUAGCGGAUUGGAACAAGGCAAUCCAUCAAGGGCCGUGGGAUUUCAAGAGCAUGGCAUUGAUCAUCGAGGAAUACGAUGGUUUCACUAAUCCAGAAAGCGUUAAGCUAGACAAGAUUGAAACUUGGUGCCAAAUUCACAAGUUGCCUGAUGGUGUUUUGAAGAAUGAGCAGUUUGUGGAAAACAUGGCUAAGCGUAUUGGAGAGGUGCUAGAGCUUCAGAUAGUUCUACCGAGUGGUUUUGUAGGUGAGUUUAUACGGGUCAGGGUCAAACUGAAUGUAAACAAAAAACUGACCAGAUUCGUAAGCUUCACCAAGUCUGGCAAGACUGAAUUUUACCAAGUACAGUUUGAAAAACUUCCAGUUUUCUGCUACAUGUGUGGGAUCCUAGGCCAUUGGCAUGAGGAGUGUGGUACAGGAGAGCAUGCUGAGAAGGAUUUGGAGUGGGGGCCUUUUAUUAUGGCGCCUAGGAGAGGACGUGGGGGCAGAGGAAGAGGCUCUGGACGCGGUUCCGGCAGAGGUGGACAUGGCACUGACGAAGUUAACGGAACAAAUAAUCCUUUCGGUAGAGGAAGAGGUGCUGGCUUUGCUGGUCACAGACAAAGGCGCGGCCGUGUCAGAGAUGGAAUGGCACCAGCAGGAAAUUGGGGAUUUAAUCAAGCUUAUCAGGGGGAUAUGAAGGAGGGAGAGAAUGAUAUAAAUAAUGGUCAAGCUUUGAUAAGCCAAGAUGCAAGGGUGACAGAUGUGCGAAGCUGGCGCUUUAAUGCCCAGGACUUAGCUGCUGCAGUUAUGGAGACCGGCGGAGUGUCUGAGCUUGGUGCAGAGAAAGAACAGCGAAAGGACGAUCUUAAUGCCCUUCGUAAAAGAGUUGCAAAGGACUCGGGCUCCCUUCCUGCAGGUUCUGCUGUAGCGGAUAUCAUUGAAAAGAAUAGCGGUGCAAUUGUUCCUUUGGGAAAUACUUCUGAUAUUAUUGAUCAGUUUGAGGCAUCAGAAGAGGAGCUACCGAUAAUAACAUAA
rnacentral:rRNA from 1 species